ensembl:lncRNA
AAGAUGUGAUAAAACAGAAACAACUAGAGUGUGAACACAUGAAGUAGAGAUGCAGUUAGGAGCAGGGUGGACAGGGCCAUGAACCAGAGAUGCUGGCUCAUGGGAAUGUCUCCUUGACAGGUGUUAGACCUGGAUGCUAGAGUAUCUGGACUCAUGUUUGGCUCCCAAAAACCUAUUUUGUACCAAAUAAGUCAAUUUUCUGUGCCUCCUUACUUCAGGGUGUUUCCUUAAAAUAAACCCAUGUCACCAUGGUAACAAAGACCCUAUUGUGGGUGCUGCUCCUGGUCUGAAAAAGGCCACACAGGCAUUAUAAUCUCUGAUGUAGGGUACCUGUACUUACUUGUCACCUUUUCAACAAUUUGAUGCACCCUUUUCUUGCUUUUACCCCACCCUUCUUAUAGGUAAAAAUAUGCAUUUGUAUACCAAAAGCCAAAUCCUUUGGUGCUGAGAAGUCCACCUGUAAAAAUAAUGAACACUCAUUAAUCAUAGAGAAAUGCAUCUCUAAGAUGCUAAAAACCUAGAUUUUUCUUUUAUUGUAUAAUCUGUUGUUCUUCUCUGACAUUUUUCACUUCUGUUGUAAAUUUUUGUUGGGACAUCAGAGUGGAUGUCAGUGACUACUGUAGCUUCUUUAGAGGACAAAAAAUUUUCCUCAACCCUCUUAGGGUCCCAGCCUGGGUCUGAAAAGUAAACUGACAAAGAUAUAUUAACAGGAGAAAAGUAUCCACAUUUAUUUAAUGUAAGUUUUAUGUGAUAUAAGGAGAUGAAGAUCCAGAGAAACAGGCCUGGGAUUUUUGUUGUUGUUGUUGUUUUUAGGGCCAUAUCCAUAGCAUAUGGAGGUUCCGAGGCUAGGGGCUGAAUCUGAGCUGCAGCCACAGGCCUACGCCACAACCACAGCCACAGCAAUGCAGGAUCUGAGCCAUGUCUGCCACCUACCUCACAGCUCAUGGCAACACUGGAUCCUUAACUUACCGAGCAAGGCCAGGGAUAGAACCCAAGUCUCCGUGGAUACUAGUUGGGUUCUGGUAAGCACUGAGGCCUGACAGGAACUCCAGGCCUGGGUGAUUUUAUGUUGAGUGUGAAGAAGACUGGACCGUCAUUGUGGAGAAGUAAAGUGGGGGAGACAUAGCAAGACCUGCCUAUUAGGACUUUGUCUUUGGAGAUAAGAACACUCCUUUCUUCUGGGCAUGGGGAGGGGACCUCUCACACGGAAACUUUAUAACCUGCUUGAGAGAAGAGUGGUAAAUCGGCAAGGUCAGAUGGAAUCUCUUUUAGCUUAAAAUAUUUUCCUAGGGUAUUCCUGAGAAUUAUAACUCUGAGCAAUGUAAACAAUUGUUAUUAAGAAUCUGGGAUCCAAUGGGUGUGAAAAAUGUGAGAUUUAGGGAGUUCUGUGGUUAACAAAUCUGAGUAAGAACCAUGAGGUUGUAGGUUUGAUCCCUGGCCUUGCUCAUUGGGUUAAGGAUCCAGCAUUGCUGUGAGCUGUGGUGUAGGUUGCAGACGCAGCUCAGAUCCCAAGUUGCUGUGGCUCUGGUGUAGGCCAGUGGCUACAGCUCCCAUUAGACCCCUAGCCUGGGAGCCUCCAUGUGCCAAGGUUGUGGCCCUGGAAAAAGACCAAAAAAAAAAAA